rnacentral:rRNA from 1 species
CCUACGGGAGGCAGCAGUAGGGAAUAUUGCUCAAUGGGGGAAACCCUGAAGCAGCAACGCCGCGUGGAGGAUGAAGGUUUUCGGAUUGUAAACUACUUUUGUCAGAGAAGAUAAUGACGGUAUCUAACGAAUAAGCACCGGCUAACUCCGUGCCAGCAGCCGCGGUAAUACGGAGGGUGCAAGCGUUAAUCGGAAUGACUGGGCGUAAAGAGCGCGGAGGCGGGAUAGCAAGUCAGAUGUGAAAUCCUAUGGCUUAACCAUAGAACUGCAUUUGAAACUGGUAUUCUAGAGUAUGGGAGAGGUAGGUAGAAUUCUAGGUGUAGCGGUGAAAUCCGUAGAGAUCAAGAGGAAUACUCAUUGCGAAGGCGACCUGCUGGAACAUGACUGACGCUGAGGCGCGAAAGCGUGGGGAGCAAACAGGAUUAGAUACCCUUGUAGUC